CGGCUGUUAUCAGUCCAUACAAUGGGCGUUAUUAGCAGAAAUCAGUCCCAUAGAUAUGGGCCAUCUCCACCUGCUAGAUUGUUCAGAAGGUUGUUAUCAUCCAUCCAGAUGGAGGAUCAGUAACAGGAACGUGGGAAGACUCCAGGAUCCACUCUGGCUGGAAUCCGGUGGAUACAGCAGUGUUACAGAACAGUUCUCCACAGUCACUGUCCACAUGGGUCAGUGGGACCAAGAAGCACUCUGCUAAUGUGAGACUCUGACCAGCAACAUCCAGCAAGACCCAGGCAGUGUUUUCUAUCUCCCAGCUGGAGUUUUUUUGUUUGUCUGUGACUGGAGAGUCAGAUUUUUGUUGAGGCUGGAGGAACAGCCUCACACUUGCAGAGGUUAAUACACGCUACUGAUCCCUGAUGGGAGAAUCAUCACCUCUGCCAACAAAGAAGCCUGGUGGAUGUUUGUUUACAGUCUGAUGAUGGGACAUCAUGCUCUGCAUCUUCAAAUCUUUUUGCAGGAUCAGAAAACAAAACCAGGAGGCCUGUAAAUGUUUCUUCUCCAAUUGGAUGAUGAUAAGACUGUGACACGGGAUGCCACCUUUAGUCUUGUGAUGAAGCAAAGCUCAGGAAGAAGUGUGAUUAAAUGGUACCCACAUGUGUGCUGCUGAGAAGGAUGUACAGGGGCACCUGCAGCCAAAUCCAAGCCUCCUCAGCAACUUCAAGUCUGUCAGCGUGCUGAGGUCACAGAAACAAGAAAAGCAGCUUCAGACUUCAGAGUGUUGUUUACAGUUUUCUGUCAUCAUGAUCUCCCCUGAAGUUUAUCACUAUUAUACAAGCAAUGGUGACGGUGUGGAGAGACGGUGGUGUUUCCUCAGAAGAACCAGCAGAGUCACAAAGGGCACGAGUCCAUCUCACCACCUUGACUUACUGACAGAUGUUCGUCUGCACUGCACAGAGGAAAUCAACUAACCGAGGAGUGUUUCUGAGUGAGGGAGAGAGGAGUCAUCAUCCAGGUAAAGUGACAUGGAUCAGUGGAUACACUUGUCUCCCCUUUAAAGGAGACGAUCCGAGUCAUCCUUAAAUAUGGGCAGGAUAUCAGUCUUGGACUGUCUAACCUGCCGGAGCAGCACUGAAUGAUCACCACACAUGAGCAUGUUCCUGCAACAUUCAGCAUCUGAUCUGCCAUCUGUGUGCUUCUGCUUUUGAUAAGUAGAGCUAUCUAACUACAGUAACUCUAAACACAUGCCAUCCAUUUCUAACGGCCUGGUUACUUCCUGUCAGUUAUUUUAGAAACCAUGUGGUCACCUGACCUAACACUGUUUCUUCUUCUUCCCCUUAAUGUUGAAGUGUCAAAUGUCAACCAGCUGGAGAGGAAACUACACCAGUGUACUGGGAUGUUUCAGCAACACGUGCCAGAUGCUGUUCCUUCAUGGUUUCAUCACCAGAGACAGCCCCGCCCACCUCAGGACCUCGCCAUUGAUCAUGAUGAUUAUAAUAAUGACAGCGAGCGGAACUAAGACUGUAAAAAUCCACGACCAGAAUGUUUAGAUGCUUUCUAAUUAUUAAUGAAUACUGAGAGCCUCUUUCUGUGUUUUGUCUGUUUUGUUUUGGUUUUUUUACCUCAUUUGUUACUAACAAAGUUCACCAAACUCACACAGUUUACAUUCUGUAUGUUUCCAUCUUUACCAGCCACACUCUUAACUGCAAUUAAGCAAAUAAUCCUUAGAAAUCGUCGUUUUUCUCUUUUGUAAUUGAUGAUAAUUCAGUGAAUAUACUGCGCUGCUUCCUUUUAUUGCGUCACACAUUGCUUUAAGUUUUUCAGUGUCCAGUUAUUUUUUUACUGCUGUUUGAAUUCUCUGUAUGUUUGACCCUGUAGACUGUUUAAUGGACUGCUUGUCUUCCUGUUUGUAACCACUGCCUGUUUUUGACUAAAGAUUUGGAUUUCUGACUUUAACACAGCCUCUGCGUGU